UGCCAGCCGCCGCGGUAAUACGGAGGGAGCGAGCGUUAAUCGGAAUUACUGGGCGUAAAGCGCGCGUAGGCGGCUUUGUAAGUCGGAUGUGAAAGCCCAGGGCUUAACCCUGGAAUUGCAUUCGAUACUGCAUGGCUAGAGUAUGGUAGAGGGAAGUGGAAUUUCCGGUGUAGCGGUGAAAUGCGUAGAUAUCGGAAGGAACACCAGUGGCGAAGGCGGCUUUCUGGACCGAUACUGACGCUGAGACGCGAAAGCGUGGGGAGCAAACAGGAUUAGAUA
rnacentral:rRNA from 1 species